rfam:Flavobacterium sp. AED Contig03, whole genome shotgun sequence.
UUUUAGCCCGGAUGGGAAUGAAAAUCCCGGAGCUUCAAAAUGUAGUUUUUCAAGGUGCAAAAAGCGACUAAAAGAAGCUUUCUUGCACCUUAGAAAAACAAGUUUUGUAGUGAGGAAUUGUAAUGUACAGCCGGAUUAGCU